rnacentral:rRNA from 1 species
UACGUAGGGUGCAAGCGUUAAUCGGAAUUACUGGGCGUAAAGCGUGCGCAGGCGGUUUUGUAAGUCUGACGUGAAAUCCCCGGGCUCAACCUGGGAAUUGCGUUGGAGACUGCAAGGCUAGAAUCUGGCAGAGGGGGGUAGAAUUCCACGUGUAGCAGUGAAAUGCGUAGAGAUGUGGAGGAACACCGAUGGCGAAGGCAGCCCCCUGGGUCAA